rnacentral:rRNA from 1 species
GGUAGCUCCGGCCGUGGGGGCGGGGUAUGAGGGGGUGGGCUAGCGUGGUUUGGAAGUACUGGGCGUAAAGCGCACGUAGGCGGCUUUGUAAGUUAGAGGGGAAAGCCCGGGGCUCAACUCCGGAAUUGCCUUUAAGACUGCAUCGCUAGAAUUGUGGAGAGGUAAGUGGAAUUCCGAGUGUAGAGGUGAAAUUCGUAGAUAUUCGGAAGAACACCAGUGGCGAAGGCGACUUACUGGACACAUAUUGACGCUGAGGUGCGAAAGCGUGGGGAGCAAACAGGAUUAGAUACCCUAGUAGUC